GGAAUCUUCGGCAAUGGGGGCAACCCUGACCGAGCAACGCCGCGUGAGUGAAGAAGAUUUUCGGAUCGUAAAGCUCUGUUGUAAGAGAAGAACGUGUGUGAGAGUGGAAAGUUCACACAGUGACGGUAACUUACCAGAAAGGGACGGCUAACUACGUGCCAG
rnacentral:rRNA from 1 species